rnacentral:rRNA from 1 species
AUUGAACGCUGGCGGCAGGCCUAACACAUGCAAGUCGAAUGGUAACAGGAAACAGCUUGCUGUUUCGCUGACGAGUGGCGGACGGGUGAGUAAUGUCUGGGAAACUGCCUGAUGGAGGGGGAUAACUACUGGAAACGGUAGCUAAUACCGCAUAACGUCGCAAGACCAAAGAGGGGGACCUUCGGGCCUCUUGCCAUCAGAUGUGCCCAGAUGGGAUUAGUUAGUAGGUGGGGUAACGGCUCACCUAGGCGACGAUCCCUAGCUGGGCUGAGAGGAUGACCAGCCACACUGGAACUGAGACACGGUCCAGACUCCUACGGGAGGCAGCAGUGGGGAAUAUUGCACAAUGGGCGCAAGCCUGAUGCAGCCAUGCCGCGUGUAUGAAGAAGGCCUUCGGGUUGUAAAGUACUUUCAGCGGGGAGGAAGGGAGUAAAGUUAAUACCUUUGCUCAUUGACGUUACCCGCAGAAGAAGCACCGGCUAACUCCGUG